AUACGUAGGUGACAAGCGUUAUCCGGAUUUACUGGGCGUAAAGGGCGUGUAGGCGGUCUUGCAAGUCAGAAGUGAAAUUCCUGAGCUCAACUCGGGCGCUGCUUCUGAAACUGCAGGACUUGAGUGCUGGAGGGGAUAGCGGAAUUCCUAGUGGAGCGGUAAAAUGCGCAGAUAUUAGGAAGAACACCGGUGGCGAAGGCGGCUAUCUGGACAGUAACUGACGCUGAGGCGCGAAAGCGUGGGGAGCAAACAGGAUUAGAUGCCCUGGUAGUCCACGCUGUAAACGAUGAAUACUAGGUGUGGGGGGACUGACCCCCUCCGUGCCGCAGUUAACACAAUAAGUAUUCCACCUGGGGAGUACGAUCGCAAGAUUGAAACUCAAAGGAAUUGACGGGG
rnacentral:rRNA from 1 species